rnacentral:rRNA from 1 species
AGGGCGCACGGUGGAUGCCUUGGCACUAGGAGCCGAUGAAGGACGGGACUAACACCGAUAUGCUUUGGGGAGCUGUAAGUAAGCUAUGAUCCAGAGAUUUCCGAAUGGGGGAACCCAAUAUCUUUUAUAGGAUAUUACUUUUCAGUGAAUACAUAGCUGAUUAGAGGUAGACGCAGAGAACUGAAACAUCUUAGUACCUGCAGGAAGAGAAAGAAAAUUCGAUUCCCUGAGUAGCGGCGAGCGAAACGGGAAGAGCCCAAACCAACAAGCUUGCUUGUUGGGGUUGUAGGACUCCAAUAUGGUAGUCUGUUAGUAUAGUUGAAGGAUUUGGAAAAUUCCGCUAAAGAGGGUGAAAGCCCCGUAGACGAAAUGCUGACAACACCUAGGAGGAUCCUGAGUACGGCGGAACACGAGAAAUUCCGUCGGAAUCCGCGGGGACCAUCCCGCAAGGCUAAAUACUCCCUAGUGACCGAUAGUGAACCAGUACCGUGAGGGAAAGGUGAAAAGCACCCCGGAAGGGGAGUGAAAUAGAUCCUGAAACCGUGUGCCUACAACAAGUCAAAGCUCGUUAAUGAGUGAUGGCGUGCCUUUUGUAGAAUGAACCGGCGAGUUACGAUUGCAUGCGAGGUUAAGUCGAAGAGACGGAGCCGCAGCGAAAGCGAGUCUGAAUAGGGCGAAUGAGUAUGUAGUCGUAGACCCGAAACCAUGUGAUCUACCCAUGUCCAGGUUGAAGGUGCGGUAAAACGCACUGGAGGACCGAACCCACGUACGUUGAAAAGUGCGGGGAUGAGGUGUGGGUAGCGGAGAAAUUCCAAACGAACUUGGAGAUAGCUGGUUCUCUCCGAAAUAGCUUUAGGGCUAGCCUCGGAAUUGAGAAUGAUGGAGGUAGAGCACUGUUUGGACUAGGGGCCCAUCUCGGGUUACCGAAUUCAGAUAAACUCCGAAUGCCAUUCAUUUAUAUCCGGGAGUCAGACUGCGAGUGAUAAGAUCCGUAGUCGAAAGGGAAACAGCCCAGACCACCAGCUAAGGUCCCAAAAUAUAUGUUAAGUGGAAAAGGAUGUGGGGUUGCACAGACAACUAGGAUGUUGGCUUAGAAGCAGCCACCAUUUAAAGAGUGCGUAAUAGCUCACUAGUCGAGUGACCCUGCGCCGAAAAUGUACCGGGGCUAAACAUAUUACCGAAGCUGUGGACUACACCAUUAGGUGUAGUGGUAGGAGAGCGUUCUAAGGGCGUUGAAGGUCGAUCGUGAGGACGGCUGGAGCGCUUAGAAGUGAGAAUGCCGGUAUGAGUAGCGAAAGACAGGUGAGAAUCCUGUCCACCGUAUGACUAAGGUUUCCUGGGGAAGGCUCGUCCGCCCAGGGUUAGUCGGGACCUAAGCCGAGGCCGAUAGGCGUAGGCGAUGGACAACAGGUUGAUAUUCCUGUACCAGUUGUUUUUGUUUGAGCAAUGGAGGGACGCAGUAGGCUAAGGAAUGCAUGCGAUUGGAAGUGCAUGUCCAAGCAAUGAGUCUUGAGUAGAGUUAAAUGCUUUACUCUCUAAGGACAAGUUGUGACGGGGAGCGAAAUAAUAGUAGCGAAGUUCCUGAUGUCACACUGCCAAGAAAAGCUUCUAGUGAGAAAACAACUGCCCGUACCGUAAACCGACACAGGUAGUCGAGGAGAGUAUCCUAAGGUGAGCGAGCGAACUCUCGUUAAGGAACUCGGCAAAAUGACCCCGUAACUUCGGGAGAAGGGGUGCUGACUUCGGUCAGCCGCAGUGAAUAGGCCCAAGCGACUGUUUAUCAAAAACACAGGUCUCUGCAAAAUCGUAAGAUGAAGUAUAGGGGCUGACGCCUGCCCGGUGCUGGAAGGUUAAGAGGAUGGGUUAGCUUCGGCGAAGCUCAGAAUUGAAGCCCCAGUAAACGGCGGCCGUAACUAUAACGGUCCUAAGGUAGCGAAAUUCCUUGUCGGGUAAGUUCCGACCCGCACGAAAGGCGUAACGAUUUGGGCACUGUCUCAACGAGAGACUCGGUGAAAUUUUAGUACCUGUGAAGAUGCAGGUUACCCGCGACAGGACGGAAAGACCCCAUGGAGCUUUACUGUAGUUUGAUAUUGAGUGUUUGUACCACAUGUACAGGAUAGGUAGGAGCCGAUGAGACCGGAACGCUAGUUUCGGAGGAGGCGCUGGUGGGAUACUACCCUUGUGUUAUGAACCCUCUAACCCGCACCACUAAUCGUGGUGGGAGACAGUGUCAGAUGGGCAGUUUGACUGGGGCGGUCGCCUCCUAAAAGGUAACGGAGGCGCCCAAAGGUUCCCUCAGAAUGGUUGGAAAUCAUUCGAAGAGUGUAAAGGCAGAAGGGAGCUUGACUGCGAGACCUACAAGUCGAGCAGGGACGAAAGUCGGGCUUAGUGAUCCGGUGGUUCCGCAUGGAAGGGCCAUCGCUCAACGGAUAAAAGCUACCCUGGGGAUAACAGGCUUAUCUCCCCCAAGAGUCCACAUCGACGGGGAGGUUUGGCACCUCGAUGUCGGCUCAUCGCAUCCUGGGGCUGUAGUCGGUCCCAAGGGUUGGGCUGUUCGCCCAUUAAAGCGGUACGCGAGCUGGGUUCAGAACGUCGUGAGACAGUUCGGUCCCUAUCCGUCGCGGGCGUAGGAAAUUUGAGAGGAGCUGCCCUUAGUACGAGAGGACCGGGGUGGACGUACCUCUGGUGUAUCAGUUGUUCCGCCAGGAGCAUCGCUGAGUAGCUAUGUACGGAUGAGAUAAACGCUGAAAGCAUCUAAGUGUGAAACUCGCCUCGAGAUGAGAUUUCCCAUUCU